UCCCUGAUAGCUCAGUUGGUAAAGAAUCUGCCUGCAAUGCAGGAGACCCUGGUUCACUCCUAGGUCAGGAAG
rnacentral:tRNA from 1 species